rnacentral:rRNA from 1 species
GAUGAACGCUAGCGGCAGGCUUAAUACAUGCAAGUCGAGGGGCAGCAUGAGUGUAGCAAUACAUUUGAUGGCGACCGGCAAACGGGUGCGGAACACGUACACAACCUUCCUUUAAGCGGGGAAUAGCCCGGGGAAACCCGGAUUAAUACCCCAUAGUAUGGUGAAGAGGCAUCUCUUUAUUAUUAAAGAUUUAUCACUUAAAGAUGGGUGUGCGGCUGAUUAGGUAGUUGGCGGGGUAACGGCCCACCAAGCCUACGAUCAGUAACUGGUGUGAGAGCACGACCAGUCACACGGGCACUGAGACACGGGCCCGACCCCUACGGGAGGCAGCAGUAAGGAAUAUUGGUCAAUGGACGAAAGUCUGAACCAGCCAUGCCGCGUGGAGGAUGAAGGUCCUCUGGAUUGUAAACUUCUUUUAUAUGGGACGAAAAAAGGCCUUUCCAGGUCGUCUGACGGUACCAUAUGAAUAAGCACCGGCUAACUCCGUGCCAGCAGCCGCCGUAAUAC